GACGAACGCUGGCGGCGUGCUUAACACAUGCAAGUCGAACGGAAAGGCCCUGCUUUUGUGGUGUGCUCGAGUGGCGAACGGGUGAGUAACACGUGAGUAACCUGCCCUUGACUUUGGGAUAACUUCAGGAAACUGGGGCUAAUACCGGAUAGGAGCUCCUGCUGCAUGGUGGGGGUUGGAAAGUUUCGGCGGUUGGGGAUGGACUCGCGGCUUAUCAGCUUGUUGGUGGAGUAGUGGCUUACCAAGGCUUUGACGGGUAGCCGGCCUGAGAGGGUGACCGGCCACAAUGGGACUGAGAGACGGACCAGACUCCUACGGGAGGCAGCAGUGGGGAAUAUUGCACAAUGGGCGGAAGUCUGAUGCAGCAACGCCGCGUGCGGGAUGACGGCCUUCGGGGUGUAAACCGCUUUCGCCUGUGACGAAGCGUGAGUGACGGUAAUGGGUAAAGAAGCACCGGCUAACUACGUG
rnacentral:rRNA from 1 species